rfam:Streptomyces qinglanensis strain SCSIO M10379 scaffold1, whole genome shotgun sequence.
GCCGGUCCUCGGUAGUGGCCCCCGGGACCCGCGGCGAAUCCGCGGGACCGCCGGGAGCUUCGAUCGAAGACCGGC